UGAACAGCUUCACAGUAAAUGGGCUAUAAAUGGUAAUUUUGCAAAGACCACUUAACAAAUCAAUUUCCAGAUUUCUAUUUCUAAGACAAAGAUUAAAGGGUGACAGAAGCAGCUUCUUCUGGAUGACCAGGACUGCUAGAAGAGUGAAAAGCAACUAACUGGUGGCCUAAGAGGUGGAAGACUCUUUAGGCAGAUGGAUGCCUUGCACCCCUUCACAUUCAUUCUUAGGUGAGCCAUGGCCACAGCCUUCUCAUUCCCAUAAUACUGAACCCAGCCACAACAGCCAUUGGAGGUGGCUGUACUCCCCUGCUUAGGAAGGACAGUGAUGCCCUCUUGGUCCAGCCUCUUCAACCUAAGCAUGGGUAUGGGAAAUAACUUUCACCCAACUGGGUAGCAGCACCCAUCUUUUAUGGCUUGUCAAAUGCUCAGUUCAAUAGUGCAGCAACACAGAGGCAAAAGCUCUCUCAAGAAUCCCCACACAGAAGAAGGGAAGUUGGGUGGUGAUACCCAGCUAAAGGAUUGCUCUGUCCCAUUCAAAUCUCCAGACAGUUGCUCACUUUGAAGAAGUGGAGAAACAUCAGAGCACUGACAAGCUCCGCUAUUCCUGAGCACAGAUAGGAAGAGUGUUAUCCCUGAGUAGCAUUGCCACCAUCAAGAGGAACAGGGAGGCGGAAGCACCCUUCACUACCAGUGAUUAAAGAUAAGUUCUGUUAUCUUGUUCCAAAAAUUUACCACACACUGGACAGUAUGUUGAAGAAUGUAUUUAUUUUUUAAAAAAAUUUACCUUCAUCAGUAAUAGCCAAGGGCAGAUUAAGGCAGGAUUCUUGACCCCUGUGAUUUGGACCCAGUGGCCUGAACACUGCUGUGAAAAACCCAAAAUAAGGGGAGUGGCCUAAUAAUUAAACACACAAGUAUGCCACCCACUUUUGCCAGCGAGUAAUUUGGCCCAUAGCCCCAACUCACAGAUUGACUUUGUGAAAGCAGGCUGGUCACAAACUUUCUCCUUUAGUGCUCCUGUUUGUAGGAUGGGCUGUUUUCCUACCUACUUACCAACAGCAUUGUAAGGAUUACUUUAUAAAAGCAUUGUGGAAUCAAAAAGCCAAAAUAUAAGUGCAAA